GAUGAACGCUGGCGGCGUGCUUAACACAUGCAAGUCGAGCGAGUGAGUUCUUCGGAACGAUCUAGCGGCGGACGGGUGAGUAACACGUGGGCAACCUGCCUCAUAGAGGGGAAUAGCCUCCCGAAAGGGAGAUUAAUACCGCAUAAAAUUAUCGAGUGGCAUCACAUGAUAAUCAAAGGAGUAAUCCGCUAUGAGAUGGGCCCGCGGCGCAUUAGCUAGUUGGUGAGGUAACGGCUCACCAAGGCGACGAUGCGUAGCCGACCUGAGAGGGUGAUCGGCCACAUUGGGACUGAGACACGGCCCAGACCCCUACGGGAGGCAGCAGUGGGGAAUAUUGCACAAUGGGGGAAACCCUGAUGCAGCAACGCCGCGUGAGUGAUGAAGGUCUUCGGAUUGUAAAGCUCUGUCUUUGGGGACGAUAAUGACGGUACCCAAGGAGGAAGCCACGGCUAACUACGUGCCAGCAGCCGCCGCCG
rnacentral:rRNA from 1 species